GUCGACUAGCUAACUGCAUUACUUGAAGUUAUUGCACCAAAAAUGACCGACAUUUUUUGUGUCUUUUCCUUCUAAAAACAUCUGCCACAGAGGCAUACCCUUGUAGCCGAAGACUAAAGGUAUAGUUGGAGAGAGACGGUAAAGAGGGCAACCUGCAGCGACCUGCACUGGAAAUGAAUCCCGAUCACUGAAGUCAGGACUAUUGUACAUGAGGCACGCUUUAAACCAGGGUCAACGUUGUCCCCGGGACCCUCGUCAGGCUCCUUGGGCUUCAUGUGAAGAAUCUGCCGGAGAGUCCGGAUGACGAACGCCUUCAACCAGUCGAUGCCCCGUGUGAUCCUGCCAAUGGCAAUCUGGAGAUUGUUCAUCUCUCCAUCGUCGUCUCCAGCUGAGAGGUUAUCUCCACUGAAUGAGCUGAGCAGCAAGGCCAAGAACAGGUUCAAUACCUGAGGGAUGAAGGUUUAGCGGGAGAUCAUGGUUACAUGGGCCGGCUGAUCUCACUCAUUCCAGUGUUGGAGCUGUGAAUCAGUAAAGAGUGCUGACGGACAGGAUGAGCCGCAAAAAACAAACCCGACAAUGGACGAAUGGAAACAGAUAUGAUGGUUGCUGAUUGAAAAACAAAUUGUAGGAGAGUUUGUAGUGUUUUCUACGUCAGUGAUGCACAAAGUAACGCUCAUCAUCUCACAGAACGUCACGCAAACCCCUUCCUUUACCUUUAUCCCUUGUGUCGUCCUGCGGGUCAAAAUUGACCCAUUUUAAAGUUUGAAAAUGUGGAAAAAAUAUAUAUUUCACAGUGAAACUUCUGAUGUCCACAUUUUCAACUUUUUUGAGAAAUCUUUGAACAUUUUUUGGUGAAAAAAGAAAUGUUAAAAAUGUUUCUGAAGAACAUUCACAAAAAAAAUCAACCAAAAUCUAGCGAAAUUCGCUGGAUUUUGGUUGAUUUUUGUGUGAUUGUUCUUAAAGAAAAUAUUAGAAAUUUUACUGAUAUAUAUGGAAUCACUUUAGAUAUUUUUUGGAUUUUUUUGGAAGAUUUUUACUCAUUUUUUGAAAAUAUUUACUAGAAUUUUCUUGUCAAAUUUGGGGGAUUUUUUUUAAAAUAAAACUUUUAAGAGAUUUUUUUUUACAUAUAUAUCAGUAAAACUUCUAUUUUAUAAUAUUCUCUUUAAGAACAUUCACAUAAAAAUCAACCAAAAUCCAGCAAAAUUCGCUGGAUUUUGGUUGAUCUUUUUGUGAAUGUUCUUAAAGAAACAUUUUUAACAUUUCUUUUUUCCACCAAAAAAUGUUCAAAGAUUUCCCAAAAGGGAAAAGUUUCCACAUUUUCAAACUUUAAAACGGGUCAAUUUUGACCCGCAGGACAACUCCAGGGUUAAGUCUUGAAACAGCUAGCUCUGCUCUCUCUAAAGAAAAUGCUCCAGUUUAAGCCAUGGGAAAAGUGCACACCUUUCUAUUCUUCCAUAAAAACUUUUGGCAAGAAAGUAAAUAGACAUAUUUCCCAAAAUGCUGUACUAUUCCUUUAAGACUUCUUGCUUUGAGGCAAUCUCCUGUGCCUUUAAUAAUCAUUCCAGACCUUCACAUUUCUUCAAGAUAAUAUACUAAAACUUUUCUUCAUGAAAAACUAGAAAAGCAGUGUGGGGAACAGGCAGUACCAAGGAUAGAAAAAGUCAAUAAAUAAUGCAGCUGAGAUCUUGUGAACUCAGGAGAUUUGACAAUGACGUGCUCAAGAGAAAAAGUCAUGCACAAAGUCACAGCCAUAUGUCAUGCGAGUGACAUCUCCUCUGCUCCAUAUGCUGUGGCACUGAUAGCUCAAUAUGAUUGCUUCUACAUCAAUUACGGUUUAAUCUGCUAUCAAAUGACUUUUCCUUUACACCCAGUCCCCCUGCCACCUGAGCUCUGCUCGCUCAGCUGUCUGUGUUUGUUCCCACAGUGGCAGUGUGCUUACUUGAGCUGGAUCUUAGCACUUACUCAAGGUCAAAACCACUGUUUGGGGGCUCAAGUCAUUUGAUUUUAAAUAGAAACCCCCUCCCAAGAUGCAUGUAAUCAUAUUAAAUGCCUUUAUGUAAGUGCAAAUAGUGAGCAUUUCCAUGUGAGGUAAGCGUACGAAGGAGUCAGGGUGAAGAGUUGAGGAACAAUCGUUUUGGCACAGCGUCGCCGUCACAAUAUUUUUGUCAAUGCUUGACAAUGAGCCAUUUCCUGUUCAUUUCUAUGAAUAACCUCACAGGAAAUGGUUUUGGCUCCAGUCAUUAAAUAUGAUGCUGAAAUGAUGUCUGAGGGUGAUCGUCUCUAUGGUCUUGCUCCGUGAGGCCAAGAUAAAAGGUCACAGAUGGUAUUUUCGUGUUCCAGACACUCAGGAUUCUUCAUAAAGCAUCACAAAACCUGAUGCCUCUUUUACACAAAUUCACCAGACAGUGUGAAAAGGUUCGUACUUCUGAAUCAGUGUAAAGCUAUCACAGUAAGUAAUAUACAGUAGUAAUUAUGUUUGGAUCUGUGUUUAAUAUGUAGCUCAAAGGACCUUUUAACUCAUAUUUUAGUUUUCCAAAACAAUAGAAAUCUGGCUAAUAUGUGCAGAGUUUUUUUCUUGUGUGUUUGGGUUAGAGUAUAUACAUAAACUGAUACUUUUAGUGAAAUGCCCCCUGGUGGAAUCCGUUUUCUCCUGCAGCUCUGUUUGUCUGUCCUUGGCAUACAGCUGAAGGUUAACAAUAGACUGCUAAGACAUGCAAUCCACAAAAUCUCCUGGCAUUAUAAUAAGAUAAGAGUAGAUGUAGAAAGAUUGUGCAAAACAGUUUGUCAGCUUUACAGCUUCACAGUAGUGACAGUUGUUCAGAGUUUGAAUGUGUAGAGUGAGCUCAGACUGCUUAACUCCCCAAGAUUUACUCUGUCCAAAUAAAUACAGAUCGUAAAAAGAUAACACGUCCACAAGAUAUGAAUCAUUAAUAUUUAACCUGAGCAUAUACAAAACUGAUAAACAAUUAUUUUAUCUAAAUGAAAUGAAACUGUGUAACAUCAUACAGUCUGUGUUCAGACCAGCUGCUUGAAGAAAAGGCAUACUCCUCAUUCAUUUCAGCAGGACGUAUGUGUUGGCACUGCAGGGGUGCUGACAGAGCGCAGAAAAACACUGGAAAAAAAUGUAACCUGGCUCAAGUUUCUCCUUAAUGCAGCGCAACAUCGUCCACACAGCAAUGACCAGCCAUGUGUGCUAGGACUGAACAAUUAACCGAUUUUAAACUGAAGUGCAGUUAGCAAACAGUAAAGGCUGCAGUUUAUGAUGUUCAAGGUGUGGUUGUUGAAUAAUGCUGUAAUUCUCUUUUAUUCAGUUGAUAGAUUCAGAUUAAGGCUUUCAGGGGUUGUUAAUACCCAUUGAUUUAUGUAUACUACGUUUUACAGGCGUGCGCACUGUGGUUUGAUGGACAUAAAUCCAGUCUCAUUGUUUAAUAGCCACACCUCGUACAUUUUGCGGCGCGUCUGACCCAAGGCUUAAACUGUCGUGUCAAUGGUUUUACAAAUUCAUGCCGUCCUCCUUGAGUGACAGUCACACUUUUGAUAUUGGCUGACAUGGAAAUGCUCCGUCACAUGUUUCAAAUAUAUAUCCCAGUGAAUACCGAUUAACCAAAUGCCUGGUUUAAAUUACACGUCUCCACACUUCAGAUUUACGAUAGGGAUCACUGAUGGAUGGAUACUUGAUGCACUUACCACU